rnacentral:rRNA from 1 species
CCUACGGGAGGCAGCAGUGAGGAAUAUUGGUCAAUGGGCGAGAGCCUGAACCAGCCAAGUAGCGUGAAGGAUGACUGCCCUAUGGGUUGUAAACUUCUUUUAUAAAGGAAUAAAACGAGGCACGUGUGCCUUUUUGCAUGUACUUUAUGAAUAAGGAUCGGCUAACUUCGUGCCAGCAGCCGCGGUAAUACGGAGGAUCCGAGCGUUACCCGGAUUUAUUGGGUGUAAAGGGAGCGUAGAUGGGUUGUUAAGUCAGUUGUGAAAGUUUGCGGCUCAACCGUAAAAUUGCAAUUGAUACUGGCAGACUUGAGUACAGUUGAGGUAGGCGGAAUUCGAGGUGUAGCGGUGAAAUGCUUAGAUAUCACGAAGAACACCGAUUGCGAAGGCAGCUUACUAAACUGAGACUGACAUUGAUGCUCGAAAGUGUGGGUAUCAAACAGGAUUAGAUACCCGAGUAGUC